rnacentral:rRNA from 1 species
AACGAACGCUGGCGGCAUGCCUAACACAUGCAAGUCGAACGAGACCUUCGGGUCUAGUGGCGCACGGGUGCGUAACGCGUGGGAACCUUCCCUUAGGUUCGGAAUAACUUCCCGAAAGGGGUGCUAAUACCGGACAAUGUCUUCGGACCAAAGAUUUAUCGCCUUUGGAUGGGCCCGCGUUGGAUUAGCUAGUUGGUAGGGUAAAAGCCUACCAAGGCGACGAUCCAUAGCUGGUCUGAGAGGAUGGUCAGCCACACUGGGACUGGGACACGGCCCAGACUCCUACGGGAGGCAGCAGUGGGGAAUAUUGGACGAUGGGCGAAAGCCUGAUCCAGCAAUGCCGCGUGAGUGAUGAAGGCCUUAGGGUUGUAAAGCUCUUUUAACCGGGAUGAUAAUGACAGUACCGGGAGAAUAAGCGCCGGCUAACUCCGUG